rnacentral:rRNA from 1 species
UUCCGGUUGAUCCUGCCGGAGACCACUGCUAUGGGGGCCCGACUAAGCCAUGCGAGUCAUGGGGGUGUCCCUUUGGGACACCACCGGCGGACGGCUCAGUAACACGUCGGUAACCUACCCUCGGGAGGGGGAUAACCCCGGGAAACUGGGGCUAAUCCCCCAUAGGCCUGAGGUACUGGAAGGUCCUCAGGCCGAAAGGGGCUCUGCCCGCCCGAGGAUGGGCCGGCGGCCGAUUAGGUAGUUGGUGGGGUAACGGCCCACCAAGCCGAAGAUCGGUACGGGCCAUGAGAGUGGGAGCCCGGAGAUGGACACUGAGACACGGGUCCAGGCCCUACGGGGCGCAGCAGGCGCGAAACCUCCGCAAUGCGGGCAACCGCGACGGGGGGACCCCCAGUGCCGUGGCACAGCCACGGCUUUUCCGGAGUGUAAAAAGCUCCGGGAAUAAGGGCUGGGCAAGGCCGGUGGCAGCCGCCGCGGUAAUACCGGCGGCCCGAGUGGUUGUCGCUAUUAUUGGGCCUAAAGCGUCCGUAGCCGGGCCCGUAAGUCCCUGGCGAAAUCCCACGGCUCAACCGUGGGGCUUGCUGGGGAUACUGCGGGCCUUGGGACCGGGAGAGGCCGGGGGUACCCCUGGGGUAGGGGUGAAAUCCUAUAAUCCCAGGGGGACCGCCAGUGGCGAAGGCGCCCGGCUGGAACGGGUCCGACGGUGAGGGACGAAGGCCAGGGGAGCAAACCGGAUUAGAUACCCGGGUAGUCCUGGCUGUAAAGGAUGCGGGCUAGGUGUCGGGCGAGCUUCGAGCUCGCCCGGUGCCGAAGGGAAGCCGUUAAGCCCGCCGCCUGGGGAGUACGGCCGCAAGGCUGAAACUUAAAGGAAUUGGCGGGGGAGCACUACAAGGGGUGGAGCGUGCGGUUUAAUUGGAUUCAACGCCGGG